GUUCCAAAUAUCUCUAACGGUAAGAGUACAUUUUAUCCGCGCUGCCCUCAAAUUAAAGCACGCAGCCUGUUUAUAUGUAUAGGUUGUUUAAACUUCAAUUUCAAAUGAUUUUCUAACAAGUUUUAUUUUCUAAAAACAGUUUGAAUUUAGGUGUGUUCCGCCUCCUCAUUCAUUGACAUAAAAAUAGUCAUUUUUACUUUUGCGGACAAUUACAUUUUUGGGACAUUUCUGACACUGACAAAAUUCCCCAAGCACAGACAUUUGCUCAUCUCCUGUCAGAACAGGAUCUGCACACGUGUUCACAUUUUCAUUCCACAUUUCUAUUGUAGCGUACUGUAUGUAUGGAGCAUAAUAUAUUUGUGUAUAUUCUUUAUCACCGCUGACACGUGAGGUAACGUUACUCAUUUUAUAACCUUUAUGGUGUUAUAGUCAAUCGUGCUUGUGUAGCCACAUUCUUCUAUUAGCUCUGUAAAACAAUGCUAACUGCGUCAGAUAAGUAUUAUCUUUUGUGUUGUAUUUUGAAGCUACAUGGCCUUAUGACUCUCAAGUGGUGCAGCGGUCAAAGGCACAGCACAUCAGUGCUAGAGGCGUCACUAUAGGCUCCCUGGUUAAAAUCCAGGCUGCGUUUCUAUCAAAAAACCACAAACAUUAUUUGUCAAUAUCAUAACUGGAGCAGGACAUCUUUGGAGCUGAAGAAUUAGGACAGCUUUUGUAUGCUAACGUACACUCCUUAACAGUUUUACUGGAUGAAAACACAGCAAGAAAACACAUAUGCCAAUAUGUAAUAGUCAUCUAUUUUAUUGCAGUAUUGGUAGUUGGUUCAACAACUUGUUUUACUAGAGGACAAAAAACUGAAUAUGCAUAACCCAUAUUUAAUAUCCAUGCAGUGACUGAACAACAACUGCAUUUCCACCCCCAUCUCUAAGGCAUAGUAUCAUGGCAGGUCACCUGUCAAGUCACCUGUCAGGUCAGUCAGUCACUUAUUGCUGCAAAUGUGCUCAAUAAUGCUUGAGCAUGUGAUACUCCUCAAAGCAUGGUGAAAUACAAUACUUCCUGUUCGACCUGACUGUGCCACAGGCCCCUGUGCUGUUGGAGAGCAGAUGAUGGAAGAGUGUGGGACUGCUGUACCAAUCGUCCACGUACAAAGUGUGUCCCUUGCCGAGAUGAGGAGCCAGCAUGGUCAUCACCACGGACCCUGACACCCCAAGCCUCUCAUAAUGUUUGAUGUCAGUGGUGGACCCUGUGUAAACUAUAAUAUCCUGGACAAAUCCUGUCUUCACGUCGCACAUGACAAAGAAAUUGACUCCAAAUCUGUGCCUUUUGGAGGGAAUAUAUUGACGGAACGCCAGCCUACCUUUCCAUAACAUCAGGGACUCAUCAAUGCAUAGGUCCUUGUAUGGCACAAAGACCUGACCAAAUGCUGAUGUCAGGCUGAUAAGAACAUUUCUUAUUUUGUACAAUGGGUCACUUAGGAUGGCAGUAGCAUUGUUGACGAAAUGAAGGCAUCGCAGCAGAACUAGGAAGCGGUCUUGGGAAAAGAGGGUGGCAAAGGAGGGAGUUGCAAACAUAAGAUCUGUGCUCCAGUAUUCUCUUAGGGAGUUCUUCUUUACUAUUCCCAUGAGAAGGACUGUCACCAGGAAGGUAUACAUUUCACUAAUUGUGGUUGUCACCCAUUUAGCGAGUUUCCCCCUCACUCCUGGCUCUCUCUUCUCCUGUAGCUCUAAGGCAUAGCGAUUGGUCUCCUCAACUAUGUCUCCCACCAGCUCCUCUGUCAGAAACAACUUGAAGCACUCUGCCUCAGUUGGAAAUGGCAAGGGGCGUUGCACUCCAGACUGGGACUCGUCAAAGCAAACAGCAGGGCCAGGAGGGGUGAAAUGACUGGUGGCCAUCCAGCUACCACAGAACUCCUGUACUUCAUCCACUGUCGGUCUGCCUCCAUCACCACCAGCAUCUUCAAAGGGACCUGGUACUUCGUCAGUGGACAAGGGAAAUUCAGAUUCAGGGUUCUCAAUGGCUACAAGGUUGGGGGGCAGCUCCUCACUGUCCUUGUCAGAAUUUCCACAUUUGUGAGUUGUCUCCUUUUGAAAGACAUUGUUAAUGCUACAGCUUAGCUCACUAGCUACAUACAUAAAAAACACUGAAUGGCGCAGAGUGGGCGGUUCCGUGGUUGACUGCCGGCACGCGCCACUUGUAUCAAUAAAUCACUAUCAGAAAAU